GACGAACGCUGGCGGCGUGCUUAACACAUGCAAGUCGAACGGGAUCCUAAGGCUUUUUGUCUUUGGUGAGAGUGGCGAACGGGUGCGUAACACGUGAGUAACCUUACCUCUUCUUUUGGGUAACCGCAUGAAAGUGUGGCUAAUACAGGAUAUUCCAGGCUGGUCGCAUGAUUGGUUUGGGAAAUGGUUUGGUCUGGUGGGGGAUGGGCUCGCGGCCUAUCAGCUGGUUGGUGGGGUGAUGGCCUACGAAGGCGGUGACGGGUAGCAGGGCUGAGAGGGCGGGCGGGGACGCGAGGACGGUGAGACAGCCCAGACUCCAGCGGCAGGCAGCAGUGGGAGGUGAUGCACAAGUGGCGAAUGCCGGAUGCAGGGACGCCGCGUGAGGGAUGAAGGCCGUGGGAGUGUUAACCUCUUUCGCGGGGUUAAAAGGCCUUACCUGGGAUGUUGUUGACUGGACCUGGUAAAGAAGCACCGGCUAACUACGUG
rnacentral:rRNA from 1 species